CAGCUAUUCGAUGCAGAUUUCUUCAUCUGACUAUUGCAAACGGUAAUUGGUGAAGUAAAAUUGUCACCGUAGCGAUGGCGCCACAGUGGUAGAUGUUUCACACUUUAUAAUAAAUGUUUGUCAGUUACUGUGAGUGUCAAAACUUUUUCGGGAUGUCAAGACAAGAGCUGAAAGAAGCGAAAAAAAGAAAACAAUGGGAUGAAAAAGAUAUGGAACGUGCGAUAAUAGCUGUCAGGCAGCAUGAAAUGGGUACGCUAAAAGUGUUCAGUAAUAACCGCUUCACCGUACAAAAAUGAAUUGAUCCAGUCGCUCAACAAAGUCAAAGGGAAACAAAAAGGUACAGAAGAAGACAAAGAAAACAGAAAAGGAA